GCCAGGCAUGGUGGCACGUGCCUGUAAUCCCAGGUACUCAGGAGGCUGAGGCAGGAGGAUCGCUUGAACCCAGGAGGCAGAGGUUGCAGUGAGCUGAGAUCAUGCCACUGCACUCCAGCCUGGGUGACAGAGCGAGACUCUGUCUUAA
rnacentral:SRP_RNA from 1 species